AUAAAGGAUUAUCCGUAAUUGAAUGGGGAUGGGUUCUAUUUAGCUUGUGGCGGGGGUAACGGCCCACCCAAGGCAACGAUCAGUGGGGUUUUGAGAGGAAGGUCCCCCACAUUGGAACUGAGACACGGUCCAAACUCCUACGGGAGGCAGCAGUGAGGAAUAUUGGUCAAUGGGCGGAAGCCUGAACCAGCCAAGUAGCGUGCAGGAUGACGGCCCUAUGGGUUGUAAACUGCUUUUAUGCGGGGAUAAAGUUGGGGACGCGUCCCUUUUUGCAGGUACCGCAUGAAUAAGGACCGGCUAAUUCCGUGCCAGCAGCCGCGGUAAUACGGAAGGUCCGGGCGUUAUCCGGAUUUAUUGGGUUUAAAGGGAGCGUAGGCCGGCUUUUAAGCGUGUUGUGAAAUGCCGCGGCUCAACCGUGGCACUGCAGCGCGAACUGGAGGCCUUGAGUGCGCGGGAGGUAGGCGGAAUUCGUGGUGUAGCGGUGAAAUGCUUAGAUAUCACGAAGAACUCCGAUUGCGAAGGCAGCUUACCGUAGCGUUACUGACGCUGAAGCUCGAAAGUGCGGGUAUCGAACAGGAUUAGAUACCCUGGUAGUCCGCACGGUAAACGAUGGAUGCCCGCUGUUCCGUAGUUAUAUGGAGUGGCCAAGCGAAA
rnacentral:rRNA from 1 species